CCUACGGGUGGCAGCAGUGAGGAAUAUUGGUCAAUGGACGCAAGGCUGAACCAGCCAUGCCGCGUGAAGGAAGACGGCUCUAAGAGUUGUAAACUGCUUUUGUACGAGGGUAAACGCAGAUACGCGUGUCUGUCUGAAAGUACCGUACGAAUAAGGAUCGGCUAACUCCGUGCCAGCAGCCGCGGUAAUACGGAGGAUGCAAGCGUUAUCCGGAUUUAUUGGGUUUAAAGGGUGCGUAGGCGGGCGGGUAAGUUAGAGGUGAAAUCCCGGGGCUCAACUCCGGAAUGCCGUGUGAUACGGUUGGCUUGAGGGGUCGUUGGGGAAGCGGAAU
rnacentral:rRNA from 1 species